GAACCUACCUCAGACUCAGGGAUAACCGCCCGAAAGGGUGGCUAAUACCGGAUAGUCUCGUAAGAGUAAAGCUUUUGCGGUCUGAGAGGGGCCUGCGGCCUAUCAGCUAGUUGGUAAGGUAAUGGCUUACCAAGGCGAUGACGGGUAGCUGAUGUGAGAGCAUGAUCAGCCUCGAUGGGACUGAGACACGGCCCAUACUCCUACGGGAGGCAGCAGUGAAGAAUCUUCCGCAAUGGACGAAAGUCUGACGGAGCAACACCGCGUGGUGGAUGAAGGCCUUCGGGUCGUAAACACCUUUUCUGAGGGAAUAAGUUCUGAAGGUACCUCAGGAAUAAGGCGCUGCUAACUACGUGCCAGCAGCAGCGGUAAUACGUAGGCGCCAAGCGUUAUCCGGAAUUAUUGGGCGUAAAGCGUCUGUCGGCGGCAAUAUAAGUCUGGUGUGAAAUUUCAAUGCUCAACAUUGAAUGCGUACUGGAAACUAUUUUGCUAGAGUCUAAGAGGGGCCACUGGAAUUUCCGUUGUAGGGGUAAAAUCCGUAGAUAACGGAAGGAACACCAAAAGCGAAAGCAGGUGGCUGGCUUAGUACUGACGCUCAGAGACGAAAGCGUGGGGAGCGAACGGGAUUAGAUACCCCGGUAGUCCACGCCGUAAACUAUGAGUGCUAGAUGUAGGAAGGGCUCGACCCCUUUCUGUGUCUACAGCUAACGCGUUAAGCACUCCGCCUGGGGAGUACGGUCGCAAGACUAAAACUCAAAGGAAUAGACGGGGACCCGCACAAGCGGUGGAUCAUGUGGUUUAAUUCGACGAUAAGCGAGAAACCUCACCUGGGCUUAAAUGCAGAACGACGUACCGGGAAACUGGUACUCCCUUCGGGGCGGACUGCAAGGUGCUGCAUGGUUGUCGUCAGCUCGUGCCGUGGGGUGUCGGGUUAAGUCCCGCAACGAGCGCAACCCUUGUCUUCAGUUGCCAGCGAUUCGGUCGGGGACUCUGGAGAUACUGCCCCGGUUAACGGGGAGGAAGGUGGGGAUGACGUCAAGUCCUCAUGGCCUUUAUGCCCAGGGCUACACACGUGCUACAAUGGUCUGUACAAAGGGUGGCGAACCUGCGAAGGCAAGCCAAUCCCAAAAAGCAGGCCUCAGUUCGGAUUGGAGUCUGCAACUCGACUCCAUGAAGUUGGAAUCGCUAGUAAUCGCGGAUCAGCAUGCCGUGGUGAUACGUUCCCGGGCCUUGUACACACCGCCCGUCACACCAUGAGAGUUGGCUGUACCCGAAGUCGCGGGCCAACCGUAAGGAGGCAGGCGCCGAAGGUAUGGCUGAUGAUUGGG
rnacentral:rRNA from 1 species